CCUUCCAUCCCAAUCUCAUAAUUGUAAAGAACUUGCUUUCCACUCAGGGCUGGUGCUGUCAUAAAACAAAUUACACAUUUGAUCGAAACAAUUUAAAAGGGGUCACUCGGUAGAUCCAUAUGCCAGUGAGGUGAGCACCUCUGAUCAGUGCACAACUCAGUGAAUGCCCACUGUCAAUUCAAUGCUUCUUUGAGAGUAACAUAGUGAGUGCUGGGUUACCAGACAGUCACUCUGAUACCAGAGGAAAACAAAGCACUAACAGUGCUUGGCACCUGUAAACCCUUGGGUUACUAGAAACCAGGCCCCAUUCCCUCACCAGACCAACAAGUAAGGAAUAAAGAAGGGGUGUGAUCAAUCAUUAAAUAAAAAAAUAAUUAAGUAAUUAAAGCAUAGAGGGCUCCCCCAUAUACAGCCAUUGGUACAUUCAAGUGUAUUAAGCACAAACAAAUAGAGUGAUAUUCAAAGUGAGAAAAUAGAAAGAAAAAAUAUGGUAAAACAUUGUUAGGGAGAAGUAGGGUAUGCAAUGGACAUCCCACAGAGAAAGAACAUUCUUAGCCCUGCCUCUAUUCCAGGACCAGUCUUCAAACAGCAGAGAAUAAAAAUGACUACACUUGGGCUCCUUCCAAUCCCUCUGGAAAUGCUGGCUUCUCUGCUUACUAUUUUACUGCAUGA